UGGAUGUUAUUACCAAUUUUUAGCAAUGAAAAACCAAGACCAGCUUCCCAUCUUGCCAACACAACAUUGAUGACUAUUUUACACAUCAAUUCUUUUGAAUUAUUUUCUUAUCAUAUUCCUGUAAGAUUAUUUAGUUGCUUGAACAAAGUUGAUUUUAUAUGUGCAACUUUGUAAUUUGUGAAAAAUUGCAAAUAACACACACCACCUCACUUGAUCCUGUGGAUCAGGUGAGCUAACAAAUCAUACAUGUAGUAUGAAAAUCUUUUUGGUCACUGAAGGAUUAUACUUGCACUGGAGAAAGAAAGUCCCAUUGCAUGUUUAGGAUAACUGCCGUACCAAGUUUGAACUUUUAAAAUCAAAUGUGGUGGUGGAACAGAAAUAUAUGUACAUGUACAUUUAUCAUCUUUUGCUUUUUUAUCCCAUUUGACACAGUUUUGUUUGCUCAUUACAGUUAGCUUUAAUUAAUUAGAAUUAUUUUCUUGCUUUACUUGGGCAUGGUAUCUGACAAUCUUUUUUCUUUAAUCAACAUUUUGUGUAUGUACCACAGUGUGAUCAAGCCACAAAUAUCUGACAAUUUUUGCUGUAAAGCCGAGCAUUGUACAGUACUGUUACAGCAAACAUGCUAAUAAUAAAGGGAAGUCAUGUUAAUUCAUUUCCCAAUAGUCUUUAACCAUAUUAUAUACAUUUUGGAUAUAAAGAAUUACGUUUAUAACGCAUUCAUAUUGUCCAUUUCCUGAGACUUUGGUUUUUGCGUGUUUUACUGUACAGUUCUGUUAUGUUCAAGAUGAGGACAUUUUCAGUACAUGUAAGCUUUCUAUAAAACAUUUAAUG
rnacentral:sRNA from 1 species